rnacentral:lncRNA from 1 species
AUGUCCAUCGGUCUCGGUCAUAAACGAACGCUGCUGUUGUGGGUGUUGGCCGCAGCGGUGACCGUGGUGUCGGGGUCAGACGCCCCCCUGUCAGGGCCUCCCCAGACACUCCAGGCCCUCCACUGCCCACCUUGCGAGAGGAUUCACUGCACCUCCCGUCGCGCCCUCAGGCUCCAGUGUAGAGGCGGGCUGACCACGGGCGUCUGCGGCUGCUGCCCGGCGUGUGCCAGGACCGCGGGGGAGGGCUGCGGGGGGGCCUGGGACUACCUGGGGAAGUGCGACGAGGGGCUGGUGUGUGUCUACCAGCAGGCCGUCCUGCCCACUGAAGGAGAACCGGAGGAACGUAAGGGGAUCUGUAAAACAGUGCUAGAGACCCUCGACGUGGAGUCAUGCCGUCCAGAAUGUACCUGGGAGUACUGCCAAGCCAACCCGUCCGAAAUCUGCUCUGCCAGGCCAGUCUCUCUGGAGAAGCAGGAGUGUCAAGGUCCCUGCCAGCACACCUCCUGCUCAAGCUGUCUGGUUUUGAGACCCCCUUUGUCAAACUCCUGCCCCAAGACAUGUGCGCCCUCUGACCCCACCUGCUUGCAUCGCUUUGGCAUGUGUGUCCAAAACCACCUGAAUGGGCCUCACCAACACAACCACAUCUGCCACCACAACCUGAAGAGUAAUGCAGAGGGAUAUUUUGUGUGCUUGGUGCCUGGCUGUCCAAAUUCUGUGAACUGA